rnacentral:SRP_RNA from 2 species
GCCAGGCGUGGUGGUGCAUGCCUGUAAUCCCAGCUACUUGGGAGGCUGAGGCAGGAGAAUCGCUUGAAUCCAGGAAGCAGAGGUUGCAGUGUGCCAAGAUCGCACCACUGAACUCCAGCCUGGGUGACAGAGCGAGAUUCUGUCUCAA